UGCUAGCCUGAAGUCAUGCAUGUGUGGC
rnacentral:piRNA from 1 species